rnacentral:rRNA from 1 species
CUACGGAGGGGGCUAGCGUUGUUCGGAAUUAUUGGGCGUAAAGGGCGCGUAGGCGGCCAGGCAAGUCAAAGGUGAAAUCCCUCGGCUCAACCGAGGAACUGCCUCUGAAACUGCCUAGCUUGAGUCCCGGAGAGGGUAGUGGAAUUCCCAGUGUAGCGGUGAAAUGCGUAGAUAUUGGGAGGAACACCAGUGGCGAAGGCGACUACCUGGACGGGUACUGACGCUGAGGCGCGAAAGCGUGGGGAGCAAACAGGAUUAGAAACCCCGGUAGUCC